rnacentral:sRNA from 1 species
UUCUUUGUUGUUGUAAACUCAAAAUUGUUCGAAAAUAAAUAUUUCUUUUACGUCUGCAAUGGCUUAAUUCUGCAAUUCAAUGCAUUUAUCGUAUGGAAUGGUGUGAAUAUAUGUUUGCCCCAACAAUAAUGAUUUCUAUUAUUUAUUUUUCUUCUUUGAUGGAAUUUUAUUCGUUUAGCUCUUUGAUAUAAUUUACACUCCGUCUCUCACUGACGGCUUUAUGCACUUUGCAACACUGCCGCCGCUUUUGUUUUGCUCCGCUGCUUCUUUCGUUUUGCAGUUGCUCUCGCCCUCUCUUUCGCUUUGGGUGAGAUAGUGCUGCCACAUGCACGAUAUUCGGAAAUCGCGACUAGGUGGCAACCCGAGCGGUGGUAACAGAAGAGGCAGCAAAGGAGAAUGUGCAAAAUAAGUGCACGGGUGCGAGCGGGACGAAAAUAGCGCGGCUGCGGCAUGCGUUGCGUGCUCAAGAGUGCGAGGGAAAUAACAGCAGCGAAAGAGAGCCAGAAUGCAGCGGCAUUUGUAUGUGUUCGCUCUCAUCGUGCGCUUGUGUGUUUGUAAAAUGGUAAUGAGCGGAGCGAAAGAAAGAAGAAGGUGCAAACACACAGAGAGUUAGCAAGCCAAGAGGAAGAACAAGAGCGGCGAGAGGGAGAGUGCGACGGAACGAGCAAAAGAGCGAGUGUAACUAUUCGCUUAUUUGCGAAAACGAAAAAGAAA